CCGCAAGUCCCGACGUCGCGAUAGCGGCGCGUCCAAGUCCUUCUUGAAAGAGGCCGAACCACCCGCAGAGGGUGCCAGGCCCGUAGGACCGCCGCCCGGCGUCGGGUCGGAUCUCUCCCUAGAGUCGGGUUGCUCGAGAUUGCAGCCCUAAGCAGGUGGUAAACUCCAUCUAAGGCUAAAUAUGACCACGAGACCGAUAGCGAACAAGUACCGCGAGGGAAAGUUGAAAAGAACUUUGAAGAGAGAGUUCAAGAGUACGUGAAACCGUUCGGGGGUAAACCUGAGGAACCCGAAAGAUCGAAAGCCGAGAUACAGCGUCCGGCGCCGCGGGCGAUGCGGCGGCGGCGUGCACUUCUCGGCCGGUAGGACGUCGCGACCCGUUGGGAGUCGCCGACGCGCGAAGGGGACGCGCGGGAAGCUCGAGGCGGCGCGACGGGACUCGUUCCCGUCGUCUUUGCGUUGCCCCUCGAACCCGCCGCGCCCUCAGAUAGGCGAUCGGCACGCCCGACGCGACAUUCAAACACAGACCGAUGCGUUCGUUCGGCGGUGCGCUUUUGCGGCGCGCCCGAAGUCGUCGCGGCCGACGCCCCUCCUAACGGAGGCGGCGCGCCGCGUCGGCAGAUCUCGGGCGUGUGUGUGCUCGCGCACACGCACCGACGUCCGAUCGUCGGCGACGCUUUUGCUUCGGGCGUUUUCAGGACCCGUCUUGAAACAC
rnacentral:rRNA from 8 species